CAAAGGAAUAGACGGGGACCCGCACAAGCGGAGGAGCAUGUGGUUUAAUUCGAUGAUACGCGAGGAACCUUACCCGGGCUCGAACGUAUAUUGAAUAAUAUGGAAACAUGUUAGUCGCAAGACAAUAUACGAGGUGCUGCAUGGUUGUCGUCAGCUCGUGCCGUGAGGUGUUAGGUUAAGUCCUGCAACGAGCGCAACCCUUACCUUUAGUUGCCAUCAGGUUAAGCUGGGGACUCUAAAGGAACUGCCUACGCAAGUAGAGAGGAAGGUGGGGAUGACGUCAAAUCAGCACG
rnacentral:rRNA from 1 species